AGGGAAAGAGAAUCCUCAAGCAGACUCCCUGCUGAGCCCAGGGCCUGACACGGAGCUCGAUCUCGCAACCCUGAGAUCAUGACCUGAGCCGAAACCAAGAAUCAGACACUUAACCGCCCAGGCACCCCGCUCAGAAGUUUUGCUGGUUCUGACUCUUCCAGGCUGCUCAGCUCCCAGCUGGGCUCUUCCUGGGACUUCUGGCCUCCUGCAGACCCAGGUCCUUCAGGUGGUCCCAACCCAGACGGCAUUUUCAGGUGCACCCUGGGGAAGACAGCAGACGGCACGUAGGGAGAAAUUCCCAUGAGCUAAUCAGCCGCGUAACCACAAGUCACAGAUUUCUCAGGGCAGCCCUCGCUCCAAGCUAACAAUGUUGAGUGACUUUCGUGUGCCAGGUACUGGGCUAGCAACUGGAUGUGUGAAGGUAAGUAAAUUGUGGUCCUGACUUCAAAGGGAGUAGGAAGAGAUAGGGGCCAAGACCCAAUGCGCCCAUCCUGCGUGAGGCGCGCUGGGAUGACAGGUGGGCAGGCUUUGCAGAACAAAGGGGUUUAGGAGGGCUGGCACACAGCCCGGUGCAGGAGAAGAGACGGGGAAAGGGAGUGGGACAGACCUCAGAGGGUCCUGGGUGCCCGGCUAGGCGCCCCGACUUCACCCUCUGGGCCCCAGGCCACUAGUGAAGAGUUGUAGAUAAACAAGUAAAGCGGUCAGAUCUGAAAACCUUUGUCCUGCUGUCGGCCCCCGUGGGGCAGGUGGCAUAUCUGAAUGCCGGCUCAGCACACAACGUCCUGGGACUCUGUCUUCAGGCUGGUCAGAAGGCAGGCUGUGGGAAGCAAAAUAUUGCUCAAACCAAUUUGCCAGUCAAAUGAACUCCGGCUCUUCACAUCUGGACAGAAGCCAUCUUUUCUCUGCAAUGUACCGUGUGGCCAGUGACCUGCCGCAGGGUGCUGCUGGGCUCCAGGAGGUCCUGGCCCCCUUCCCGCCAGAAGGCCUCUGUGCCAGCAACUUGCCAGGGAGCCCCACCAGGGCGGGGGCGAGGUGGGGCAGUGAGACAACACUUUAUAAAGCAGACGUCC